GACGAACGCUGGCGGCGUGCUUAACACAUGCAAGUCGAACGGAAAGGCCCUGCUUUUGUGGGGUGCUCGAGUGGCGAACGGGUGAGUAACACGUGAGUAACCUGCCCUUGACUUUGGGAUAACUUCAGGAAACUGGGGCUAAUACCGGAUAGGAGCUCCUGCUGCAUGGUGGGGGUUGGAAAGUUUCGGCGGUUGGGGAUGGACUCGCGGCUUAUCAGCUUGUUGGCGGGGUAGUGGCUUACCAAGGCUUUGACGGGUAGCCGGCCUGAGAGGGUGACCGGCCACAUUGGGACUGAGAUACGGCCCAGACUCCUACGGGAGGCAGCAGUGGGGAAUAUUGCACAAUGGGCGGAAGCCGGAUGCAGCAACGCCGCGUGCGGGAUGACGGCCUUCGGGUUGUAAACCGCUUUCGCCUGUGACGAAGCGUGAGUGACGGUAAUGGGUAAAGAAGCACCGGCUAACUACGUG
rnacentral:rRNA from 1 species